rnacentral:tRNA from 1 species
GUCUCGUAGCUCAGCUGGUAGAGCGUGCGCGUGCAAAUCGUGGGCGGCGUCCAUGUGUAGGUUCGAAUCCCACCGAAGAUA